GACGAACGCUGGCGGCGUGCCUAAUACAUGCAAGUAGAACGCACAGUUUAUACCGUAGCUUGCUACACCAUAGACUGUGAGUUGCGAACGGGUGAGUAACGCGUAGGUAACCUUCCUGGUAGCGGGGGAUAACUAUGGGAAACGAUAGCUAAUACCGCAUAAUAUUAAUUAUUGCAUGAUAAUUAAUUGAAAGGUGCAAUUGCACCACUACCAGAUGGACGUGCGUUGUAUUAGCUAGUAGGUGAGGUAACGGCUCACCUAGGCGACGAUACAUAGCCGACCUGAGAGGGUGAUCGGCCACACUGGGACUGAGACACGGCCCAGACUCCUACGGGAGGCAGCAGUAGGGAAUCUUCGGCAAUGGGCGAGAGUCUGACCGAGCAACGCCGCGUGAGUGAAGAAGGUUUUCGGAUCGUGAAGCUCUGUUGUAAGAGAAGAACGGGUGUGAGAGUGGAAAGUUCACACUGUGACGGUAUCUUACCAGAAAGGGACGGCUAACUACGUG
rnacentral:rRNA from 1 species